AGGAGUCUUGUAAGCUGUAGGAAAAAAAUGGCCUGUAGCCAAUAAGAUGACCAGGCCGGACAACAUUACAGGCUGGCAUAAUGUAAUAUUGUAUAUCUGCCAACAGGUCUACAGAAUGAUCUGUACUGCGUGCUUGGGUGGAAUAGGGAAGGAUCUUACCGUGAAGUCUUCCUCAUCCAGCAGAUGUGACAUAUGAGGACUACGGAGGCAAGGAAGAAGAAUCCACCCACCAGUAAUGUCCCCAAAAGUGCAUAUUGGAAGUUAUAGGUACCUGAAUACCCUUUUAACCACUUCACUGCUCUAGACAACAAUGAGUAUUGGAAAAAAUCACCCCACUGCCCUAGAAAUCUACAUUGGCAUAUUAUAGCAAAGAAGACUUCAAUGUGUGACAAGAACUCUCGGCGCUGUUCGGAACAAGAGGAUCAGGACAACAAUCAUUCAGACCUACCUUUCGACAGGACGGCUGCAGAUGGAACAUGUUUGAUAUGUGCCUCCCAUUGUUGUGUAUGUUACACAACCAACUCGGGCUGAUGGCCUCGGAGACCCCACCGGUAAAGUCAAUGAGAGCUUCAGCAGUGCUGCCUCCAUCCAAGGCCUCAUAAUUCCCAAUGAGUCUAUGGGAGAAGACAACAUGGAAGAAUAGAAACAAGUAUAU